GAUGAACGCUGGCGGCGUGCCUAAUACAUGCAAGUAGAACGCUGAAGGAGGAGCUUGCUCUUUCCGGAUGAGUUGCGAACGGGUGAGUAACGCGUAGGUAACCUGCCUGGUAGCGGGGGAUAACUAUUGGAAACGAUAGCUAAUACCGCAUAACAGUAGAUAUUGCAUGAUAUUUGCUUGAAAGGGGCAAUUGCUCCACUACCAGAUGGACCUGCGUUGUAUUAGCUAGUUGGUGAGGUAACGGCUCACCAAGGCGACGAUACAUAGCCGACCUGAGAGGGUGAUCGGCCACACUGGGACUGAGACACGGCCCAGACUCCUACGGGAGGCAGCAGUAGGGAAUCUUCGGCAAUGGACGGAAGUCUGACCGAGCAACGCCGCGUGAGUGAAGAAGGUUUUCGGAUCGUAAAGCGCUGUUGUAAGAGAAGAACGAGUGUGAGAGUGGAAAGUUCACACUGUGACGGUAUCUUACCAGAAAGGGACGGCUAACUACGUG
rnacentral:rRNA from 1 species